GCGACACUAGCUCAGUUGGUAGAGCGCAACCUUGCCAAGGUUGAGUUCACGAGUUCGAACCUCGUGUGUCGCUCCA
rnacentral:tRNA from 1 species